GGGAAGGCUCCUGUCACAGCCCAGCUUGGCCCCGCUGUUAGGGGGGAGCAUGGGAGGCUAAACCUGGGACAGGGCACGUGGGAGGGCAGGAGGCCAGCGCCUUGCCAGGCUCUACUGGAGAGGGGGAGGAAUAAGCAAUAAAAAUGGGGAAGGCAGAGGCGAAAUCUCAGCGGGACCGACCGGUCCUUGGAGGAAGCCAGCAAUCGUCAGCUUUUGGGGAGGUGUCUCAAGGCCCAAAGGGAGGAUCGCGGGAAGGGCUUUGGGCAGAUGCUGUGGCUCUCGGGGCCGCCGCAGUGUCUCUGUUCCUUGAGCUAGCAAAGACACUUACAUGAAGAACUGGGUUCCAGGAGCUGUCCUUGUAUCAACAGCAGACAGCAGCGACCCAAGCCACCUGCGGGCCCUGGACUUCACCCUGGGCAGCCCUCAGGAGAUCAGCCAAGCCUGGAUGCCCUCACUGAUGGAGCAGCUGGGACAAAUGAGCUGGGGCACCACGGCAUCCCCUUGCACCAGGAGCAUGACAGCUCUGCGUAACCACGGCCCCUUCCUGCGGCCCGAGCCCCCGUCAGCGCUCUGCUCCCAGAGGAGCAGCCUGCUCUGAGGACGUGCUGGGCUGGAGGCAGAAAAAGGCACUGGGUAAAACCCCUCUGCGACCAGUCGCUGAUGCAUUGGGAUGUGCCGAUCCCCGCGGCUGUCCCUGUUUCCCGAGCCCUGGGUGGUGGCUGCUUCCUUUACUUCCCCAAAGUAAAGGCGAGGGAGCAGUUCUCGCACAUCACCGCAGCUUUCUGGUUGCACAGAGCACGUUUCCUCCCGCUAACGGCCAAAGUCUCAGUGUGCAAUCCCCUCCCUGCCCUGUUCCUGCACCUUGAGACCCCCGGGCAUCUCCUUCCCCGGGGGCAGCUUGGCGCCCGCUGCCGUUCCUGCGCAUGCCCUGGGGCGCCGCAGCGGUGCUCCGAGCGCGGUGAUUUNNNNNNNNNNNNCGUCACCGCUGCCGCCGCCGCAGCGCUCCCCUUCUAUUUUCAUUUGCUUUGCUUGUUUGCUGCAUUGUUUCCUGUGCUCAAAGAGCUUCGGGAGGUCGCUCUGUGUCCGACCCACGGGAACAACGCCGGGCGGUCCCUCCGCUCUCCCUGGCUCCCCUGUCAUGGCUGCUGUCCUCACAGGUGGCUGCUGCUGGGGGUAUUUUGCUUGCAAGCCUGCCCUACUUUGGAUCAGCCCACAACAUCUUUUAUUUUGAGGUCAGUGACAGCUGCUGGCAGACCCAGCCUUACUCUGUGUUUUGCUUUUUAAGCAGCUCAAUGCAGAUACAAAAUUAACAGCUUUCUUGGGCUGCUUUAACUGUUUCAUUAUUUGUGCAGAGGAACUGAGGAUGAAUUGGUGUGGCGCACAUGGCUUCCAUGCAGCUGCAGCCGUUUGUGUCAGAUGAGGAUUUGAUCCUUCUGCUUAAUCCCAGGUUUGGUUUUAUUGAGCCCUUACUAAUAUAUGCGUUCUUCUGAGCUCAUGUAUAAUCUGCAGUAUAAUUCUUGUAUUCCUCUUCCCUAGAGGAAGGAGGCAAAGGAGAGAGCGGUUCUUUGCAGCUGUCUGGUGCCCUUUGCAUCCUCCUCCCUCCAGAACAUGCUGUGGUUUUCUGGCAAGGCAUUUUGUAGCGCAUCGCUCACGGUCCACUCCCUGCCGGACAUGCCACCAGGGCAGUUGCUCCCCGAAUACCCGCUCGAGUUGCUCUCUUUUACCUCAGCUCUUCUGCUGCCCUCCACCCCGAAGAGCCCAGCUCGGAGAAGCUCCUCGGUGCGGGGUCAUUGCUGUGCUCAGAGGAGCACAGGACGGUCCCUUUCUGCAAACAGCUCAGGGGGAGGGGGGAGAAGGAAUUUCACUAAGAAUUUCCUCGCUGAGGGCCCUGAUUCCUGGCCGAGUCUCUUGGGAGAGGAAUUUAAGCAGGCUGGGAUGUGUUUGGGGCGGCCAGCGGGUGCCGGGCCACGCAUGCUGCUAGGACGGAUGCUCUACAGCUCCCUCGGCCCCUCUCUGCCAGCCUCCCGGCAGCCCUAGCAGCCUGGGGCGUUCCCAAUUCCCGGCCAGCCAGAAACGAGUGGGGCUCCUCACUCACAAAAAUGCAAAAGGAAACUGCGUCUGGCCUCAGCGGUCGAGCGUGAAAGUGGAGGGACAUGCAGCUGUGAUUUUGCCCAGAUCAACACUGAGAAGCCCC
rnacentral:lncRNA from 1 species